rnacentral:rRNA from 1 species
UACGUAGGGGGCAAGCGUUGUCCGGAAUCAUUGGGCGUAAAGAGCGUGUAGGCGGCCCGGUAAGUCCGCUGUGAAAGUCCAGGGCUCAACCCUGGGAUGCCGGUGGAUACUGUCGGGCUCGAGUCCGGAAGAGGAGUGUGGAAUUCCUGGUGUAGCGGUGAAAUGCGCAGAUAUCAGGAGGAACACCGGUGGUGUAGACGGCUUACUGGACCACGACUGACACUGAGGCACGAAAGCGUGGGUAGCAAACAGG